UACGUAGGGUCCAAGCGUUAUCCGGAAUCACUGGGCGUAAAGCGUGCGUAGGUGGCGCGUUAAGUGAGAUGUUAAAUCGUGGGGCUCAACCCUGUCGAUGCAUCUCAUACUGGCGUGCUAGAGGACAGCAGAGGCAAGUGGAAUUAGCAGUGUAGCAGUGAAAUGCGUAGAUAUUGCUAGGAACACCAAUGGCGAAGGCAGCUUGCUGGGCUACUCCUGACACUGAGGUACGAAAGCGUGGGGAGCGAACAGGAUUAGAAACCCCAGUAGUCC
rnacentral:rRNA from 1 species